rnacentral:rRNA from 1 species
GCACAGCAAUGUGAGUGGCGCAAGGGUGAGUAAUGCGAAGGUAACCAACCCUGAAGUUGGGCAUAGCCGCGGGAAACUGCGGGUAAUUCCCAGCGACGUUGCGAGAUGGCAUCAUUUUGCAACCAAAGGUGUGAUUCCGCUUUAGGACGGGCCUUCGUGGUAUUAGGUAGUUGGUGAGGUAACGGCUCACCAAGCCUACGAUGCCUACCGGGUGUGAGAGNNUGACCCGGCACACUGGAACUGAUACACUGUCCAGACACCUACGGGUGGCUGCAGUCGAGAAUCUUCGGCAAUGGGCGAAAGCCUGACCGAGCGACGCCGCGUGAGGGAUUGAAGGCCUUCGGGUUGUAAACCUCUUACGUAGAGGAGGAAGGGGCUGUGAAGAACAGUCCUUGACCUAUUCUAGGAAGAAGCUUGGGCUAAGUUCGUGCCAGCAGCCGCGGUAAGACGAACCAAGCGAACGUUAUUCGGA